GGCCUCGUAGCUGAUCUGGUACUGUGUGGGCUGUACAAAAGCGUAGGCGGCGUCCGUACGUGGGUUCGAAUCCCACCGAGGCUA
rnacentral:tRNA from 1 species